rnacentral:misc_RNA from 1 species
GUAAAAUUAAAGGAAAAUGAAAGAAAUAAAAUGCAAAUUGGUUAAAUGAGUAUAAGCCGAUAGCGAUGAAUGACCUCACUGGAAAGCUACUAAGAAGCGACUGUGGAUUUAGGUGCCACCCCAAACUCAUGAGGAACCCAAUGAGACAUUUAUUUAAUACUUAAAUAAGGGAUUAAUGGAAAUGAAAAUGUCAAGGAAAUGCAAGGAAAC